AACUUUCAACAACGGAUCUCUUGGUUCUGGCAUCGAUGAAGAACGCAGCGAAAUGCGAUAAGUAGUGUGAAUUGCAGAAUUCAGUGAAUCAUCGAAUCUUUGAACGCACAUUGCGCCCCUUGGUAUCCCGAGGGGCAUGCCUGUUCGAGCGUCAUUUCAC
rnacentral:rRNA from 1 species